AGACGCAGCAUAAAAAGAUGUUGUGUUUAAAAUACAAAAUAAAAAGAUUGAAAAAAUAUUGAGGAAUAACUUUAUAAGCAAAAGAUAGGCUUUGGAAAAGUAAACUCUGUGUAACCUGCUUUAUCGAACUUUCUACAAGCCUGCCCUUGGAGGGAUCAGUGCUUGAGGCCAAGAGGUCUUCAUUGGCAAGAGAAGCGGGGAUUCUCUUAUCAGGAAUUUACGGUGUCAAGGCUAGAAGUAUUUUUCAAUUUAGAAGAAGGAAGGACAGAAUAGAAAUGGUCUAAUUCCAAAAUAUAUUAAGAUAGUUAGUUGCCGGGCAGAACAAGCACGUAAGAUACAGGUGUAAGGAAAGUUCUAGGGAACAUUAAUCACUAUUAAACUUGGCAAGAAAAGAGGUGUCUCCAGCAAGCUGGUUUUAGCCAGUAUGUGUAUAGCUGAAAAAUACAGGGUCAUCUGGAUGUCAAUUAAGUUCAAGCUACCAGGGGCCCAUAGGAGAAAAACAUUAAGCUUUACAGCUCAGUAAAAUAGUUAGGUUUUCCAUAAGGAGAAAACUCUACAUUAAAAAGAUAUAAGAUGGAAGUUCCCUAUAAUACCUGCUAAACACACACCUGUAAGGAAAGAAUGAAAUUAAUUUGAGAGUGAGAUGACAUGAGGGAAUAUAUUUUUGAAAGCCAAGUUCAUGUAAUUAAUUAUAAUCAUUAUAACUAUAACUGCUAUAUUAUGAUAUAACUAUUGGUGUUGCAUAUAUUCAAAAAACACCACUUUUCUUAUAUUGGUGUUGCAUAUAUUUAAAACACCACUCCUUUUUAUAAUGCACCCAUAUUAAGUAGUGAAUCAAGGUUGCAGGGAUUUUGUGAACUCUGCUUCACCUAACUUUUCAGAUGAAGGAGAGGGGCCAAGAAUGAGUGGAUGAGAACAUGGGCUAGUGUUGAUUUGUUGGCAUAUGACUUUAAUUGAGUCUGAGGAGUUGGUUGAAUUCUUUAGAGAUUACUGUUUGCCAAGAGAUAAGGACUGUCAAUAUAGAUUGAUGACUGGAUCUAAUUGGGGUUUCCCAUUGCUUUCAAUGGGACGAAAAUUGUAUAAAAACCCUGGGCCGAUCACACUGAGACCACCACAAUCAAGCUUGGCAGAGCUAUGUGGUCCAUCCUUUGCAGAUCUCUACAGAACAGUCCUUCUCUUUUGUUCACGCUACUCUUCCUUAUAAUAGGAGUGACAAAUUGAAGCACUGUGUAAUGAAUUGGCAUCUCACCCCUUUGAAUUGAAUGGAAAGGCAAUGGUUGGAUGCAAACCACAAACCAUAUGCUUCAAAGAUGAAUGUCUUACCAUUCAAAUAAAGAGCAAGCUCUAUAGUCAAGAGCAGCAAUUCCACACACAGCUCAGGAGACCUGAAGGUUCAGUGGGCAUCCUCCAAUCCCACGACCGAGCCAGCGUCCUCUUUUACACCCAGUGGCUCGAGAGCAGAUGUCAGCGAGCUACCAACCCCUGAAGGACAAAGGGUAUGCUGUAGUGCGAAGAGGACAAAGCCCCUGUCGGUUUUGCCUCCCUAACUCAUAGAAUCGCCAGAGCCAAUGCAACGCUCCUGGAAUCCCCAGUGAAGACCAGUGACUUCUCACAGCCAGGACAUGAACCUGCGCUGUAUGACUCAUCCUGCUCACUAUGCAGUUGUGUGUUUACCAUGUGAGCCACUCGGGGGACCCCUUAUUAAGUAAAAUUAACCCAAACAUGAUCCUUUGUAAACAGAGGGCUUGCCUUCAAAAACUAGAAAGCAGUGCAGCUCAAAAGAUUUUAGGAUCAAGAUUCUGAAUAAUUGGCUACCAUGUAUUGACUCAGGAAGCACCCGUUUCAAGCUGGAUAGCCAAUUGCCUCUUUUCACCUGACAAUCUGAAGAGCAGAAGUUGCAAUCCUCCUGAGCCAUGAUGGCAAGGCCCAGCCUGGUUGCUCUCUGCCUGGCUUCAUCUAGCACAAAAGUAAUCACUUUAUCAGAUGAACAGCUUUCCGUUUUUAAUUAUGAAUCCACGUCAGAUACAAAACAACUUCAAGUAACCAAUUCAAAUAACCACUUGUACAGUACUUAGGGCCCUGUGAGAUUUUGUAAUUUAUUAUAUAAUGACGUAAAGGUUAUUUAAAUUUGCUCUCGUUAUUACAAAAUUUGACAAGGCUUAUAACAUUUUAUGCUAUUCUACUGAAUCAAUCAGCAGAUAAUAUAAUACUACGGCUCUUACAGUACAUGCUCUAGCUUAGGAGGAUGAGAGCUAGGUUUUUUAAAUGCAUGAGGGAGACAGACACCAUAAAAUAAAAUAUAGGCCAUAACCUGGCAUAAAGACAAGAGCUUAUAAGAUACAGAUGAGAGAUAUAAAUAAAAGAGAUCUGGGAGUAGGAGGGUCCUGCUUCUGUUGUGGUUACCAUGGCGCAUCUGAAGUGCAUGCUACCUGUCAUUCCUACUCAGAUUGUCUCCUAUAUUAUCAAAAGAAAAGAUGAACAACAGCUUUAUCCUCUGAGUGACUAUAAUAGGCCACUUUUCCUGUGGUCUAUACUCAUUUAAAGUUCUAAGCAUAUAAGUCGAGAAUGAUUUAUACCAUCUACUGAGCCAAGGUCUAAAUUUAAGUACAGGCUGCAGCAGUACACACUAAAUCAGGGCUCUAAAACUAGCAGCCCGCCGACAGUCAGCAAAAAUUAUAAAAAUUAACUAAAAUAAAUAUGGAAAAGAAAAAAAACAAAAAACAAAAAACCGUAACAUCGUAAAUCAAUUUGUGAUUAAGAUGGGUUUUAUUUUUGUAUCCGGCAAAGCAGCGCAUCACACCACCCCUAUUCAGUCAUUAGCCACUCAGCAAGACUCACGCAUGCCAGUUACAUUGAGCUCUGCUUUGCGUACUCUGUGGACGAUUUUAGCUUACUCAUGUUGCUUUCUUUUUUUUUUUUUUUAAAGUGAUGUAAACAUGGCUGUCUCUACUCUAGCUAAUAAACAUAGGAAAAAAUUGUGAAAAUAGUAGAUUCAACAAUGAGUGGACCAAUAAAUACUUAUUUCUUUUACCAGCUGUACCAAAUGCAAAACCAAUGUGUUUAUUGUGCAAUGAAUGUGUGUCAGUAGUUAAGGAAUACAAUAUGAAAAGGCAUUUUGAAACCAAACAUGGAGCUUUUGGAAAUACGUUUCCUGAGGGCUCCGCAGUUAGAAGCUCAAAGGUAGAGGAGCUGAUCGCAUCCUACCAACGUGCUUGUGCAACUCUUGUGAGAUCUUGCACUCAUCGAUUGUUUUUUUGAGAUUCAUUAAAAAGCAUAUGAUACAAAGAUUAACAGUUUGGUCAGAAACAUCUUUACCUUACUUACAAACACAUUGUCGCAGUUCUCUCUCUCUCAGACUAUAUAUUAUACUAUAUAAUAGUAUACUAUUAAUAUGUCACAUACGUUUAACAUGUUUGUAAUGAUUGUUAAAUGUUCACACUGUUCUAUUAUUAAAGUACUACAGUAGAACCCCGAUAAUCCGAAACGAUUAGAAGAUAUCAGGGAAAAUAGGAAAGAUAUCACAAGAAGGAUUACAAUCGUUGGAGAUCAGUCUGUGUGUAACUCUGAUACCUGCUUCUUUGUUUACCUUUGAAUAGGAUCCUUGCUCCUCCCCAAGGAGUGGAGAAGGGUUGAAGAGCAGUUGUAGCCCUAUUUCCAGGAUCACCAGGACUGCCAGUAUACACAUAAACCAGGAUUACAAAUUGCAGCACGAGACGCAAGCUUUGGAUUGUGGUCAUUUUCCCCGACCCAACUGGAUUGAUUGGACUUGGCUGGACAUUUCAAAGUGUUACAGAGGCUCGGGUUCAGGUCUGAUGCAUUUGUGAUGUCUGACUGAAUAUAUUACUUGUGGUGCAUGUAGUUAGGUAGAAAGAAGUAUUUAGUUAUAUAGUGAAAAUAGUAAUUUGUAUGCCAAGUAAUAAAGCUAGGGAUGUAAUAGGAAUAAAGAUAAUUAUUAAUUAAGGUUUUAGUAAUUAAUAGUGUAACAUAUAGAUGUGUAUUUGUAGUAAUUAUAGCAGUGUUUUAAUUUAUUAAAUAAUUAGUUUGUUUAUAUUGUCUUUUCUAUUUUAUUAGUUAAUGCCCUGGCCCUCUUUUAGUUAAAAUGCUGCGUCAUUGUUCAUCAUUGUGUGUUGAAUUAAAAUUAUUUCUUGUGGUGGUCCCUCCUCUCUCAUUGUCCAGUGGUCAGGGUGAAACAUUAGUUAUAUUAUUAAAUGGUAUUUACCAUUGCCUCAGGUCCCCACAUGACACAUACAAAUCACUCAUCUGAGUUUAAACUCAAAACAAACAGCCUUUUCAUUUUAACCAGAGGUGUGAUUUCUUUAAAGUAAAGCUUUUUUUCCUUUUUUUUUAUUUUUUAUCAACUGUCUUCCCUUCUCAUUGAAUUUCAGCAAAACAGAUUAAAUCUGAUGUUAAACCGUAGGCAGCAAUACUGAGAAGAAUUGGAUAUAAGACUUAGGAUAAAUAUCUAGUUUCUCCUGACUUUGAAAAAUAAUUCAAUACCCUUAACUUGAGUGCUAAUGCUAUCAAUUGGAUUGUCACUGUAACAAUUUGCAGUUCUACAUAGCUGUCUGUAAAGAGGUACAAACCCAUAAUCUGUUCAAACCUGCGAGGAGAAAAGACCAAAAGAAGGUUGCUCUGAUAAGUGAAGAGGAUCAUGCUGCAACAUUCAGAGCAUCUGCAAAUAAUUUUUAGAAAUGGUCCUGCCUUUGAAAGAACAUUCUCGAAAUUGCUUCUCAGUAGAGAGUCAUCAUCGUAGCCUAUAAUUGAUGUAUUUAUUAUACAGGAAAAGCAUUUACAAACAUAUGCAUAUAAAGAUAGAUGUGGGGUUGCCAACAGGUAAAACAAAAAUAAAUAAGCAAUUGCAGGGCUUCAGAGCUGUUGUGAGGAAGCCUAAUUGGACAUUCUGAAUUGGGGAGAAAAGUGGUGGUAAAAUAAAACCCAGCUACUAUGAAACAAAUAACCUCUGUGCCCUUUCCAGUAUAAAACAGGGUAAAUAAUAAUAAUAAAAACAGAAGUGGAGGGCCACCCUUGAGUCUCAGUUUCUUAAAGAUUUAAAUCAAAACCUUAAUCCCAGAGGUUGCCAGGUGCUGGGUAAAUCAGAUCUCAAAGUAUUUGUAAUUUUAUCUGCUGCUGUAUAAAUAAGAUCUCAUGUGUCUCUUACUCAUGUACAUCUGCUGGCUUAACAUGAGCAUAACCUCUUGAGGCUUUGUCCAGCAACCUGAUGAAUAAGUAAUAAACCUUAAUUAAAAGUAAUUGGUUCUCCUGACAUUUGACGAUAAAAAACAAGAUGCAAUGUUUAGGGUGUUCAAUACAUUCUGGUCCUAGCUGCCUUUACUGAACCUAUGGGAGGCUGAUUGACAGCACUGAGAGUCCUAACAUUGUCCUAAGAAAGCCGGCAUGCUUGCUUUUUGGUUCAGAAAGGAGAUCGUCCACAUGAGCAGCUGUCUACAUUAUAUCGUGGCCUUGAAAAAGUCAGAUAAACAUGAAUGAAAACAGAUGCCUGUCAAACUAGCAGAUGGUUUUCUCUGAAGUAUUUUUUUUCCAACGGAGCUCAGCAAAGAAACUAUAUCUAAUUUAAUAGAUAGGGUCCCAUUACAUACUGUCUGUAUACAGGAUGGGGUGUACUUGUAAAGAUCUAAACAGCAGCGACAGCCAAUAUCCCAGUCGUUGUUUUUAGAAGAAAUAUGUAAUUCUGCCUUCAAGCCUGUACUGUCUUUUUUAUAAUUUUUCCAGGAGUAGUUGUUAUUUGAAUGAAUGACAGAUGGGCAUAUCAAUACUGCCACUGUUAAGUUCAUUAAAACAUACUGAAAUUUUACAGGAAGAUGAUGGAUGAUCCUCCAAAAAUUGCAGUAGAUUUGCAUGGUGAAUGCUUUUGCCUUUCCUUGUUUUGCUUUAUCAUACUUACUUUCACAAUGCUUUAUUAUACCUUUUUAUGUUUUUACCUGAGGAAACAUAUUUAAUGUUGCAUUAAAAUACAAUUCCCUGGUGUCUUGCCAUGCCAAUAUUGUGUAUCAAUAUCCAGCAACUAAACUGCAUAAUAUUGCACAACAUUUACAUGCACGAGAAAAUUGACUCUGCAGUCAUGACUGUGUGACGUUGUCAUGCGAAUACAUCGUGAAACAGCAAAAGGAUUUUGGCAGCGCGACUUUAACGGCAGGGUCAAUCACUUUCUCACGAUAAAAAUAGCUGUAAAAACCCAUGUAAACUGAGACAGGAAUCGUGCUUGUGGCUCACGAGAUUUCAGCAGUCAAGAUCCUGUUCUUCUGACUUAAUCUCAUGUAAUCUCUAGCAGAAAGGCUGUACAAAACACACACAUAUACACAAAAUGUAGAUUUAUGGACUACUUUAACACUAGAACCGCCACAGUUAUACUCAUACCUACAACCGCCGAUGGCAGUCAUUAUCACGGUACAUUUUAAACAUCACACACACACACACAAAUAUACAUCCUAAGUAGUAAAACUUGAUCUUAGUAGAAAUUAUAUUAGGGAAUAUAAUUACUGUGUGUCAUAUUAUCUGUCUUCUCUAUUGAAGUUUGUCAUGACAUGUAACUUGAACUGUAUUCAUUCCCUGCCUCUCACUAAGGGAGUCUCCUCCUAUCCACUCGCAUUAACCUGCCUCUCUACCUGCUGUUGCUCCUCCCCUUUGUCGCUCCCUUCUAGAACACUGGAAUGCAGAAUGUUUGGAAUGCUGGGGGCAUGUAUUCCAGGUUUAGCUAACAUGCUCCUCUGUCUUGCAGGUGGUAACCCCUGGUGACUGGAUCUAUGUAAGGGUGCUGAUAUUUUUCACAAUAUUUUUGGUUGGCAAAUCCUGUUUUAACCCGUAAAAAUCUUUGACUAAAAAUAUCUUUUGUAAAAAAUAAAUUUGCAAUUUGUAUGCAAUACUUCUGUUUGCCUUUAAUGUCUCAAUGCUUUUGAA